UAAGUACUUCCUCCGUCCAACAAAGGAUGUCUCAACUUAGACUAAAUUUGAAUGCAUCUAUACACUAAGUCAUGUCUAGAUACAUUCAAAUUUUGACAAACUUGAGACAUCUUUUGUUGGAUGGAGGGAGUAGUAA
rfam:Brachypodium distachyon strain Bd21 chromosome 5, whole genome shotgun sequence.